UGGCUCAGGAUGAACGCUAGCGACAGGCCUAACACAUGCAAGUCGAGGGGCAGCGCGGAGUAGCAAUACUUGGCGGCGACCGGCGCACGGGUGAGUAACACGUAUGCAACCAACCCAUAACAGGGGGAUAACCCGGAGAAAUCCGGACUAAUACCGCAUAAGACCACGAUAUCGCAUGAUAUAGAGGUCAAAUAUUUAUAGGUUAUGGGCGGGCAUGCGUCUGAUUAGCUGGUUGGCGGGGUAACGGCCACCAAGGCAUCGAUCAGUAGGGGUUCUGAGAGGAAGGUCCCCCACAUUGGAACUGAGACACGGUCCAAACUCCUACGGGAGGCAGCAGUGAGGAAUAUUGGUCAAUGGGCGAAAGCCUGAACCAGCCAUGUCGCGUGAAGGAAUGAAGGUCCUAUGGAUUGUAAACUUCUUUUGCAGGAGGGUAAAGUGAGCUACGUGUAGUUCAUUGCAAGUACCCUGCGAAUAAGCAUCGGCUAACUCCGUGCCAGCCGCUGC
rnacentral:rRNA from 1 species